CAGAGGAGGAGUGAGGACUAUACCGGCAUGCAACGCGGUCAGGGGCGGUUUUUUACAUAUUACCGAUUUCUCGCUCUGCGCCGUCAUUGUUCGGUCGGCUCUCGCUCUGUUUACACCUCGAGGAUUCGAGCGAUUCGGAAAAGAUUUAUAGAAAAAAAAUUGUAAAAUGGUGAAUUUUUGCACUAUUCGUGGAAAGAAAGCUUCGUUUUUGGGUGGACACGAGCUUCUGUUUGUUCACUGUGUGUCAAAACAGCCAUUAAUCUUGAUUCCGGAAGGACUACCGUGUGAUGAACUUGAAAUGUCGUGAGGUUCAUGUUUAUGUAGUUUUACGGAAUACAGAUAGUUUGAAGAAUAGUCCUUUGUCCAGCUGUGGUUAACGGGAUAAAAAUUGAUGAAAUUGUUCCCUGAUUGCGGUAAUCCUGCACUGGUACAAAUUCACUCUAGUUGUGUUUUUAAGGUAAGAUGAUUUAUAUAAAAUAGAAAUAUAAAAAUGCUCUCGUACUGUAUAAAUUAUAUAAAAUACAGUCAUCGAUGAUGUGAUUGAUAUAUUUCGCUUAGAAUUGUUGUAAUACAGCAGUAUUAAACGUAUUUUUAUUUCAUAUCAUGUAGUUCUUCGACCCUAAUGAUCCACAGGAAGGAGGUUGAUAUUUCAACAUCACCAACAUCCCACCAUGUGACCCAGAUAGUCAAGAUGAUGAGCUGGACAGUGUACUUCCACCAAUAGAAUUACACCAGCCAACUGAUUGUAAUUGUUUUAUUUAUCCAAUAAAUCCUGUUUGCCCUGACGGACAUUCAUACACACCGAAUGAUGGAAGAAGCGCCCAGUGGUAGCAGUGGUGAUGGUGAAACUGAAGGAGGGGCAGUGAAUGUAGAGAAUGAAAUGGAGGAAAUUCAGCACUAUCACAACACUAUAUAUAUAUGUAUUCACUACUGUGUGAUGCAUUGCAAGGAUUUAUACUGAUCAACCAGUUAUCUAUGCUCAAAUGAUCAACCAGUUGUCUAUUAUUUUACUCUACCUAACACCAGAUUAUUUUACUGUUUAACACUAGACUCAUUACUCAUCAGGGGGAGAGUGCUACCACUCAUUGGGUUAAAAAAAACAUUCAAACAAAAUGUUUGGCAGAAGAUGCAAAAUUGUUUAUUGGUGUCUGGUGUGAUACUGAUAUUUCUUUUAUCUGUAAGGAUAGACCUGGGGAGUUUCUUGUGGUAGCCUUGUUUUCCCGUACUGCAUGUGUUUUCCUCACUGCCCUGAUUCUAUCAUAAGUAUUGUAUCCCAAGGACACCAUCUUAUCAGUUCUGCAGUUUUUUGACAAUCUACCGUAAACCUCCGACUAUAAGCCCUGGGCUUAUAUUCUUUCGUAAACGAUUUUUGAUGGGCUUACACAAGGGGGCUUAUACAUGGACAAUCUUUUGUGUUAGUAAUAAAAAAGUCAGUCAUAAACAGGAAAAUAAACAUGUAUUAAUAACACACUUUGAUUAACAUAGUAAGCUAUAAAGACAAUGAGGGGG